rnacentral:sRNA from 1 species
GCAGCUCACACACUUCUCCAGUGCUCUUACUUCAUUCUGUCUUGGAGAUGAUGCCCUCACACCCGUCCCCCUUUCCCAAGCCCAUGAGUCCCUCGAGGCAGGAACUGUCCUCUUUCUGUCUGGGAGCACAGUGGUUGGCACACAGGCGGGAAACAGUAAAUACCUCUGGAAUGAUAAGGAGUAGGGCUAUUUUAUCAGGGUCUCUCAUGUGCCAAGGCUUAUGCCAGCUAUUCACUCAGGGGGCAUUCCUGCAGUGCUGUGUGUCGCACCUAGGCUCUGAGCCCACCGGAGGGUGCAGAGACGCACACUGGCCACCCCAGCCCUCAAGGAGUUCAUGUCCAGUGGAGGAAGUGGCAAUAACGCCCAUAUCUUGAGGGCUUCAUUGAAAGAGUGUUCCCUGAGCACCUAGGCCAUGCCUAGCACUGUGUGCUAGCGGGUACAGACAUGUCAUCCCAUGGAACCUGAAGGUACAAUUACUGAGCUCAUCAUUGCUGUCGUUCAGGCCACUCAGAGAAGUUAAGUAACUUACUCAAAGACACAUAGCCAGCAAGUUAAGCCCUGACCUGACAGUGAUGACUACAGCACAAGUGGACAACGACUUUGUUGCAUGAAAUCUCAGUGUGUAUAGAAUACUUAAACGUUAUUAAUAUAUAGUAACUAUACUAAUGAUAAUAACAGAGUAGCUAGGACCUAUGGAAGGUCUCUUUUAUGUUGUGAUCAUUACGCCUAUCAUUCCGAGUAGUCUCUACCACCCUGGAAAAUAAGUACCAUUAUAUCCCAGCUUGCAAAUGUGGAAACUGAGGCAAGAAGAAGUGAAAUCACUUGGCCCAGGUUCACAGCUAAGAAAGGGCAGAGUUUGGGGGGUCAAUCCAGGCCUGUCUUCUUGCAAUCCCUGUGCCGGGAUCCAGGGUGCCCCAGCAGGCUGGUGGAGGGCUGGGGAGAAGUGCAUAUCCUGGGCUGGAGUCCUGGGCAGGGCCCAGCUACUGUGAGGCCACUGCCUCAGGCAGCGGGAUCUGGGCAGCUCUGCAGAGAGGGCUGUGCCGCUUUGCGGGUCACCGAUGGGGGUGCGGUUUUUCCUCCGCAGUGGCAGAGGACGACAGCAGCUGUGAGGUGAACGGCCGCCUGUAUCGGGAGGGGGAGACCUUCCAGCCCCACUGCAGCAUCCGCUGCCGCUGCGAGGACGGCGGCUUCACCUGCGUGCCGCUGUGCAGCGAGGACGUGCGGCUGCCCAGCUGGGACUGCCCCCACCCCAGGAGGGUCGAGGUCCUGGGCAAGUGCUGCCCUGAGUGGGUGUGCGGCCAAGGAGGGGGACUGGGGACCCAGCCCCUUCCAGCCCAAGGACCCCAGUUUUCUGGCCUUGUCUCUUCCCUGCCCCCUGGUGUCCCCUGCCCAGAAUGGAGCACGGCCUGGGGAUCCUGCUCGACCACCUGUGGGCUGGGCAUGGCCACCCGGGUGUCCAACCAGAACCGCUUCUGCCGACUGGAGACCCAGCGCCGCCUGUGCCUGUCCAGGCCCUGCCCACCCUCCAGGGGUCGCAGUCCACAAAACAGUGCCUUCUAGAGCCGGGCUGGGAAUGGGGACACGGUGUCCACCAUCCCCAGCUGGUGGCCGUGUGCCUGGGCCCUGGGCUGAUGGAAGAUGGUCCGUGCCCAGGCCCUUGGCUGCAGGCAACACUUUAGCUUGGGUCCACCAUGCAGAACACCAAUAUUAACACGCUGCCUGGUCUGUCUGGAUCCUGAGGUACAGCAGAGGUGCAAGACCUAGUCCCCUUUCCUCUAACUCACUGCCUAGGAGGCUGGCCAAGGUGUCCAGGGUCCUCUAGCCCACUCCCUGCCUACACACACAGCCUAUAUCAAACAUGCACACAGGCGAGCUUUCUCUCCGACUUCCCCUGGGCAAGAGAUGGGACAAGCAUUCCCUUAAUAUUGAGGCUGCAGCAGGUACUGGGCUGGACUGGCCAUUUUUCUGGGGGUAGGAUGAAGAGAAGGCACACAGAGAUUCUGGAUCUCCUGCUGCCUUUUCUGGAGUUUGUAAAAUUGUUCCUGAAUACAAGCCUAUGCGUGAUCUUGUGUGUCAGGCCUGUGUUUUCUGAGAAAGCCCUCCCAUUAUCCGGGGCAGAAUUCAGGGGCGGAGUUCUCUGUGAACCUCACAAGGUGAAAUCACAUGGUCUUAAAGAAAGCCAGAAGACAGGCCUUCGAGUGAUCCAAGAAACCCAAUUCGUAUUAAUAAUAAUUAACUUAUUUAUUUAUUUUUUUUUUUGAGAUGGAGUUUUGCUCUUGUUGCCCAGGCUGGAGCUGGAGUACAAUAGCACGAUCUCGACUCACUGCAGCCUCCCAGGUUCAAGUGAUUCUCCUGCCUCAAGAUUCCUGAGUAGCUGGGAUUAUAGGCACAUGCCACCAUGCUCGGCUUUUUUUUUUUUUUUAAAUAUAUUUUUAGUAGAGAUGGGGUUUAGCCAUGUUGGUCAGGCUGGUCUCGAACUCCUGACCUCAAGUGAUCCGCCCGCCGCCUCGGCCUCCCAAAGUGCUGGGAUUACAGGCGUGAGCUACUGCACCCAGCCAAUAAUUAACAUUUCUUGAGCGCCUGCUAUGUGCUAGGCACUAGCACUUUAUACAGACCAGUGCUUCCCAGCGUUUUUGACCAGAGAAGAGCAGGGAGAAUGAAGGCUGCCUCCCAGGGACUGGGGAGCAUAGCCUGAAAUCAACUAACCCAAGGGUGAAAUUGUUCGAAGUCUCAUGUUUUAUUGUUUACAAACAAAACAAAAC